rnacentral:sRNA from 1 species
UAGACAGCCCGGGAGACUGAUGUUCUAAUUAUCUUCAGAACAGGUGCACACGGGCAUUUUCCUGCCAAUGUGACUCAGCCUAGAGGUGGAGAGCCCAGUUCUUUGGUUAGAUGAUAGUUCAGUAUAAAGCCUUCUCAAACUGCUCUACU